GCCGAUGUGGUGGAAUUGGUAGACACGCUACCUUGAGGGGGUAGUGGGCUAUGCUCGUGCGAGUUCAACUCUCGCCAUCGGCA
rnacentral:tRNA from 1 species